CCUACGGGAGGCAGCAGUGAGGAAUAUUGGGCAAUGGACGCAAGUCUGAACCAGCCAUGCCGCGUGCAGGAAGACGGCUCUAGGAGUUGUACACUGCGUUUGUACGAGGGUAAACGCAGAUACGCGAUUCGGUCUGAAAGUAUCGUACGAAUAAGGAUCGGCUAACUCCGUGCCAGCAGCCGCGGUAAGACGGAGGGUUCAAGCGUUAUCCGGAUUGAUUGGGUUUAAAGGGCGCGGAUGCGGGUGGAUAAGUUAGAGGUGAAAUCCACUGGCUCAACUUCGGAAUUGCCUGUGAUACUGUUAGGCUAGAGAGUAGUUGCGGUAGGCGGAAUGUAUGGUGUAGCGGUGAAAUGCUUAGAGAUCAUACAGAACACCGAUUGCGAAGGCAGCUUACCAGGCUACUUCUGACGUUGAGGCACGAAAGCGUGGGGAGCAAACAGGAUUAGAUACCCCUGUAGUC
rnacentral:rRNA from 1 species